AAAUUUUUAUUUCGCUUCUUUAUUCAGCUGCUGUGGAACAAGUUCAGUGAUAAAAGUUUCUGCAAAGGCGCACGAGGGCAUUAUGGAGCAUAUUGUCGUGGACUGUGGGUGAACGAUAAGCUCCCUUAUUUGAAAUUGCUACUAAAUGAGUUCGAUGAUGUCAAUCAAAUCUCCAACUGGUUCAUCAAGGGAUAAAUUUUGAGAGACUUUAUCGAGCUGAAUGUGAAGUUCACCCGGAACGCGAUCAACGAAGAGGUAGUCAAGGCUCGGCUCGAGGAAUUCAAGACCAAACUGUUCGGUUCGGUACUCGGUGGUCAAGAUGUUCCGCUGCCCAACGGGGCAGAUUUUGAGCAACUAUAUCGAGCUGAAUGUGAAGGUCAGAUUAUGUUAUUUUGAACAAAAAUAGCUCUCUCCUAAUAUUCUUAUUCAGUAUUCCACACAGUUCGACCUGACCCGGGACGCUAUCGACUACGGGGUGGUGGAGGCUCAGCUCGAGGAACUCAAGUACAAACUGUCCGAUCUGUGCCCAGUGAUCAAGAAUUCCCCUGUCCGACGCCGAAGCACCGGCACCGGCUCUUCGACACCCAGCGGUUGGCAUAUCAGAUUCGGUAUUCUUCGCUCAGGAUCCGCGUAUUAACAGCUGUGCGUUGAUACGAAAGGCGCUUGACAAGCUGCUCUGCUGCGGAUUAUGCUAAUCGCGUUUCUGAACAAGGAUCUGCGGAAGCAUAAAUGAGAUAGUGUUUGAAGGAAAACUACGAUGUUAUUUUAAUCGUAAAAAUUAUUACUGCAACAGUGAAAUACACACAGUCUUAGGAAUAAAUUCCAACUCAUUUUCAACGUCGUAAUCAAUUCAACAAGGAAAAUGAUGAAAACAGUUUUUCUGGAAUUUUAGUAGCAUCUUCAGUUGCAGACAGCGUUCAUUCUGACACAA